GUAUUUGAAUAAAACGUUUAUUGAAGUGCUACCCGCUGGUGCAUUUUAUGGAAUGAAGAAUCUCGAAUGGCUAGACCUGAAUGAUAACAAUAUAACGACGAUUUUUCCUGAUACCUUUUCCGGACUGAGCAACCUUUUGUAUCUAUACAUUACAAACAACAACAUUUCUUCCAUUCCCGAUGGAACCUUUUCUGAGUUGGACAACUUGGUUUGGUUAGAACUAAACGGGGCAGGAAUAACGAGUGUAUCAACAAAUUCUUUUGAGGGACUUCACAACC